rnacentral:snRNA from 1 species
CUGGAGUGGGACAAACUAUCUCAGAAUUCAUUUCUUGCCUUUUACCAGAGAUGACCGUGGUUCAUGCCCAUAAUACUCCAUUCCUACAAUCUUUGAAACCAGCCCCUGGG